UUGAACGCUGGCGGCAGGCCUAACACAUGCAAGUCGAGCGGUAGCACAGAGAGCUUGCUCUCGGGUGACGAGCGGCGGACGGGUGAGUAAUGUCUGGGAAACUGCCUGAUGGAGGGGGAUAACUACUGGAAACGGUAGCUAAUACCGCAUAAUGUCGCAAGACCAAAGUGGGGGACCUUCGGGCCUCAUGCCAUCAGAUGUGCCCAGAUGGGAUUAGCUAGUAGGUGGGGUAACGGCUCACCUAGGCGACGAUCCCUAGCUGGUCUGAGAGGAUGACCAGCCACACUGGAACUGAGACACGGUCCAGACUCCUACGGGAGGCAGCAGUGGGGAAUAUUGCACAAUGGGCGCAAGCCUGAUGCAGCCAUGCCGCGUGUGUGAAGAAGGCCUUCGGGUUGUAAAGCACUUUCAGCGGGGAGGAAGGCGGUGAGGUUAAUAACCUUGGCGAUUGACGUUACCCGCAGAAGAAGCACCGGCUAACUCCGUGCCAGCAGCCGCGGUAAUACGGAGGGUGCAAGCGUUAAUCGGAAUUACUGGGCGUAAAGCGCACGCAGGCGGUCUGUCAAGUCGGAUGUGAAAUCCCCGGGCUCAACCUGGGAACUGCAUUCGAAACUGGCAGGCUAGAGUCUUGUAGAGGGGGGUAGAAUUCCAGGUGUAGCGGUGAAAUGCGUAGAGAUCUGGAGGAAUACCGGUGGCGAAGGCGGCCCCCUGGACAAAGACUGACGCUCAGGUGCGAAAGCGUGGGGAGCAAACAGGAUUAGAUACCCUGGUAGUCCACGCCGUAAACGAUGUCGAUUUGGAGGUUGUGCCCUUGAGGCGUGGCUUCCGGAGCUAACGCGUUAAAUCGACCGCCUGGGGAGUACGGCCGCAAGGUUAAAACUCAAAUGAAUUGACGGGGGCCCGCACAAGCGGUGGAGCAUGUGGUUUAAUUCGAUGCAACGCGAAGAACCUUACCUGGUCUUGACAUCCACAGAACUUUCCAGAGAUGGAUUGGUGCCUUCGGGAACUGUGAGACAGGUGCUGCAUGGCUGUCGUCAGCUCGUGUUGUGAAAUGUUGGGUUAAGUCCCGCAACGAGCGCAACCCUUAUCCUUUGUUGCCAGCGGUUAGGCCGGGAACUCAAAGGAGACUGCCAGUGAUAAACUGGAGGAAGGUGGGGAUGACGUCAAGUCAUCAUGGCCCUUACGACCAGGGCUACACACGUGCUACAAUGGCAUAUACAAAGAGAAGCGACCUCGCGAGAGCAAGCGGACCUCAUAAAGUAUGUCGUAGUCCGGAUUGGAGUCUGCAACUCGACUCCAUGAAGUCGGAAUCGCUAGUAAUCGUAGAUCAGAAUGCUACGGUGAAUACGUUCCCGGGCCUUGUACACACCGCCCGUCACACCAUGGGAGUGGGUUGCAAAAGAAGUAGGUAGCUUAACCUUCGGGAGGGCGCUUACCACUUUGUGAUUCAUGACUGGG
rnacentral:rRNA from 1 species